UGCCAAGACAAGGUAAGCAAUCUGUCACAAU
rnacentral:piRNA from 1 species